rnacentral:rRNA from 1 species
AACGAACGCUGGCGGCAUGCCUAACACAUGCAAGUCGAACGAGACCUUCGGGUCUAGCGGCGCACGGGUGCGUAACGCGUGGGAACCGUCCCUUAGGUUGGGAAUAACUCCCCGAAAGGGGUGCUAAUACCGGAUAAUGUCUUCGGACCAAAGAUUUAUCGCCUUUGGAUGGGCCCGCGUUGAAUUAGCUAGUUGGUAGGGUAAAAGCCUACCAAGGCGACGAUCCAUAGCUGGUCUGAGAGGAUGAUCAGCCACACUGGGACUGAGACACGGCCCAGACUCCUACGGGAGGCAGCAGUGGCGAAUAUUGGAACAUGGGCGAAAGCCUGAUCCAGCAAUGCCGCGUGAGUGCUGAAGGCCUUAGGGUUGUAAAGCUCUUUUACACGGGAUGAUAAUGACAGUACCGGGAGAAUAAGCUCCGGCUAACUCCGUG